UCUGCAUCUGGUGAGAGCCUCAAGCUGCUGGCACUCAUGGCGGAAGGGGAAGGGGAGCUGGCAGAAAUCACACGGUGAGAGAGAAGCUCAGGAAGCCAGCUGUGUUCAAGUUUCAACCAACACUUGAGAGCCUCUUUCUUAUGUCCACCUUGGGAGGCCAGUACCCAGAGCUUCAGCCAGCUGAUGAAGAGGAGAGGGAGGAAGAGGAAGGAAAUCCUGUCACAUGCCACACCAUGGAUGAACCUGGAAGACAUUAUGCUAAAUGGAAUAAUCCAUUCACAAGAAGGACAAAUACUGCAUGAUUCCAUCUAUAUGAAGCAUCUAAAGAAGUCAAACUCAUUGAAACAGAAAGUAGAAUGGUAGCUGCCAAGGACUGGGGGUAGCCGUGGGAGAGUUGCCAUUCAAUCACAGCAGAACACCUCCAUGGCUACUGAACCUUGUGCUGCUCAACAUUUUCCAUAGCAGUGAGUGAGAUGAAGGCACAGAAUGAUAGACUCUGACGUAUCUGUAGCGGACUCACCAUAUGAAGAUAGUCUUUUGGUUACCCUGUCUCAGGUAUUCCUUUAUAGCAACACAAGCAGACCAACACAUCCUAUUAUAGACAACUAAAUCAAGUUUGAAAGCUUUCUUGAUGGCUGGGACAGAGCUGGACUGAAUUCAACAAGAUGAAAUCCCAUGAAGGUUAAUGAAAGAUCUUCCAUUUAGGUUUGUGAUAACCAAUUAUAUAUGUACUAAUGGUGAAAUUUUUUUCCAUCUAUAUGCCAGGAUCUGAAAGUUUUAUUUGACUACAAGACUAAAAAUGAUGCAAGAAUGUGUGCUAUGGCUACUUAAAGAGCAAACGAAGACUGGUCACAUUAAUAAAAGUAUUGUGUCUAGAACCAGGGAAAUGAUAUUCUAUCUGAAGCAGGAUGUUCCCUUCUGGGCAUCACUAUUUAAGAAGGACACUGACAAUUUAGAUACCAUUCAGAAAAGGGUAACCAGGUUCUUGGAAGGUCAACAACAGAUGAAGAAAUAGGGUCCACUUGUUAUGUUAUCAUAGCACCCUAUAGUUUUCCUGUGAGGAAUUUAUAUAACAUUGUAAAAUAAAUAAUGUUUUAGUUGUACAAAUGUUUUCAAAUUUCUUUAACUUUUUAUUUUGAGAUUAUUAUAGAUUUACAGGAAGUUGCAAGGAUGGCACAGAGAGGUCCCAUGAGCCCUUUGCCUAGUUUAUCCUAAUGAUACAUCUUAUAUAUUUAUAGCAAAAUAUCCAAACCAGAAAGGAAAUUGACAUUGGCACAAUGUUUGUGUAUAGUUCUGUGCCAUUUUGUCACAAGUGUAGAUUUGUGUAACCACCACCACCGGUUUUAUUGAUCUUUUUAAAGAACCAACUCUUUGUUUCAAUGAUUUUCUCUGUUUUUCUUGUCGAUUUUCAGCUUCAUUGAUUUCUGCUCUUGUCUUUAUUCUCUCCUUCCUUCUGCUUGCUUUGGGUUUAUUUUGCUCUUAUUUUUCUAGGUUCUUGAAGUUGGAGCUUAAAUUAUUUAUUUGAGACUUUUCUUCUUUUCUAAUGUAAGCAUUUAGUGCUUUAAAUUUCCCCCUCAGCACUGCUGUGUACCACAGAUUUUUAUAGAAUCCUUUUUCAUUUUCACUCAGUUCAGUGUAUUUUUUAAUUUCACCUGUGACUUCCCCUUUGACACAUGGGUUAUUUGGAAGCAUUUUGUUUAAUUUCCUAGUGUUUGGAGAUUUUCCUGUUAUCUUUCUACUAUUAAUUUCUAGUUAGUUUACAUUGUGGUCAGAGAACACACUGUAUGAUUUCAAUUCUUUUACAUCUGUUAAGGUUUGUUUUAUGGCCCAGGCUAUGACCAAUCUUGGUAUACAUUCCAUGGGCACUUGAAAAGUAUGUGUAUUCUGUUUGUUGGAUGGAAUGUUCUAUAAACAUUGAUUCCAUCCUGUUGGUUGAUGUUGGUGUUUUGUUCUUCUGUAUCUUUGCUGAUUUUCUGUCUAGCUGUUUACUAAAUGUUGAGAGAAGUGUUCAACAUUUAAUUAUAGUUGUCUCCAGCUAUAAUUGUGGAUUUGUUUAUUUUUCCUUUCAGUUCUGUCAGUUUUUGAUUCGCAUGUUUAGCUGCUCUGUUUAUUUGGUGCAUAUACACAUAAGAAUCUAUGUCUUCUUGGUGUAUUGAGACUAUUAUCGUUUGUAAUGUCAGUCUACGUCCCUGGCAAUUUUCUUUUCUCUGCAGUCUACUUUAUCUGAUAUUAAUGUAGUCAUUUUUGCUUUCUUUUGAUUAAUGUUUGAAUUAUAUAGCUUUCCUGUGUUUUAUUUUCAAUCUACCUAUCUCAUUAUAUUUGAAUAGUGUUUCUUGUAGAUAAUAUAUAGUUGGACCAUUUUAUUAAUCCCCUCUGCCAGUCUCUGUCUUGGAGUUGGUGUAUUUAGGCCAUUUUAAUUUAAUAUAAUUAUUGAUAUGUAGAAGUUUGUCUGCAUUUUAUUUUUUGUUUUCUGUUUAUCCUUUGCUUUCCAUUCUGUUUUCUUUUUCCUGCCUUCCUAUGGUUUACUUGAAUAUUUUUUAGAAUUCCAUUUUGAUUUAUCUGUAGUAUUAUUAGGUUUAUCUCCUUAUAUAGUUUUCUUAUUGGUUCUUCUAGGUAAUGCAUUAUAUAUAUAUUAUGUACAUAAUGUAUAUACAGUCAUGUGCCACAUAACAACAUUUUAGUCAAUGAUGGACUGCAUAUACAAUGGCAGCCCCAUAAGAUUGUAAUGGACCUGAAAAAUUCCUAUCACCUAGUGGCAUUGUAGCUGUCCUAAUGUCGUAGCACAAUGCACGUGUUUGUGGUGAUGCUGGUAUAAACAAACCUACUGCUCUGCCAGUCAUGCGAAGGUAUAGCACAUAUAGGCCGGGCGCGGUGGCUCAUGCUUGUAAUCCCAGCACUUUGGGAGGCCGAGGCGGGCGGAUCACGAGGUCAGGAGAUCGAGACCACGGUGAAACCCCGUCUCUACUAAAAAUACAAAAAAUUAGCCAGGCGUGGUGGCGGGCGCCUGUAGUCCCAGCUACUCGGGAGGCUGAGGCAGGAGAAUGGCGUGAACCCGGGAGGUGGAGCUUGCAGUGAGCCGAGAUUGCGCCACUGCACUCCAGCCUGGGCGACAGAGCGAGACUCUGUCUCAAAAAAAAAAGAAAGUAUAGCACAUACCAUUGUGUGUAGUAUAUAAUACUCAAUAAUGAUAAUAAAUAACUAUGUUACUG